GUGGGGAAUAUUGGGCAAUGGACGAAAGUCUGACCCAGCGACGCCGCGUGAGGGAAGAAGGUCUUCGGAUUGUAAACCUUAGUCAACAGGGACGAAGCAAGUGACGGUACCUGUGGAGGAAGCCACGGCUAACUACGUGCCAGCAGCCGCGGUAAUACGUAGGUGGCGAGCGUUAUCCGGAAUUACUGGGUGUAAAGGGUGUGUAGGCGGGAAGGCAAGUCGGAUGUGAAAAUUAUGGGCUCAACCCAUAAAGUGCGACCGAAACUGUUUUUCUUGAGGAUCGGAGAGGUAAUGAGAAUUCCCGGUGUAGCGGUGAAAUGCGCAGAGAUCGGGAGGAAUACCGGUGGCGAAGGCGAAUUACUGGACGAUAACUGACGCUGAGACACGAAAGCGUGGGGAGCAAACAGG
rnacentral:rRNA from 1 species